UUACCAAAAGCUAGAUUUGUGGGAAGGUUUUUUUAAAUAACCUUAACCAACUUGGGCUAUUUGGCAGAAUGAGUAAGACCACACUCCACAGUGAGCUAUACCACUUCGUAUAGUUCAUUACUAUCUUGUGGCCUACACU